CGCAUCUGUGCAUGCAGCAUAUCAAUAAGCGGAGGAAAAGAAACUAACAAGGAUUCCCUUAGUAACGGCGAGUGAAGCGGGAAGAGCUCAAAUUUGAAAUCUUCAAGGUUUUACCUUGACGAAUUGUAGUUUAAAGAAGUGUUUUCUGUUGAAGUUUUGGUAAAAGUUCUUUGGAAUAGGACAUCAUAGAGGGUGAGAAUCCCGUAUUUGACCAUUAUUUUCAGCUGUGUGAUACACUUUCAAAGAGUCGGAUUGUUUGGGAAUGCAGUCCAAAAUGGGUGGUAAAUUUCAUCUAAAGCUAAAUAUUGGUGAGAGACCGAUAGCGAACAAGUACCGUGAGGGAAAGAUGAAAAGAACUUUGAAAAGAGAGUUAAACAGUACGUGAAAUUGUCAAAAGGGAAGCGUUUGGACACAGUGUUGUUUUCUCGAAAAUCAAUUAAAAAGAGUUAGAUUUUGUUGUGUAUUGACCUUAACAGCUUGCAUUUCAAUUUUCUUGCUCUUUUUUAAUGCACUUUUCGUUUAACAAGUCAACAUCAGUUUCUUUUGUUGUAAAAAGGUCAUUGGAAGGUGGCUUUCUUUUCGGAGAAAGUGUUUAUAGCCUUUGACUCCCUGCAAUCGGAGAGACUGAGGUCUGCAGCGUAGAUCCUUCGGGGUUAGAUACAUUUGUGCUAAGUUAUAGCUUUUUAUAGACAACUUGUUGACUAUGAUUAGUCUUGUAGCUUACUCGCUUAUGCUAUUUUACCUACGCUUAGGAUGUUGACGCGCGAUCUAUACAUGACUAGGCAUAUCAAUAAGCGGAGGAAAAGCAUAACAUGUAUACCUACGCUUAGGAUGUUGACGCAUGAGAUAUACGC
rnacentral:rRNA from 1 species